CUAACACAUGCAAGUCGAACGGUAACAGGUCUUCGGAUGCUGACGAGUGGCGCACGGGUGAGUAACGCGUGGAUAUCUGCCUAUUAGUGGGGGACAACUUGUGGAAACGCAAGCUAAUACCGCAUAAUCCCUACGGGGGAAAGCAGGGGACCUUCGGGCCUUGUGCUGAUAGAUGAGUCCGCGUCUGAUUAGCUAGUUGGUAGGGUAAAGGCCUACCAAGGCGAUGAUCAGUAUCUGGUUUGAGAGGAUGAUCAGACACACUGGAACUGAGACACGGUCCAGACUUCUACGGAAGGCAGCAGUGGGGAAUAUUGCACAAUGGGCGCAAGCCUGAUGCAGCGACGCCGCGUGUGGGAAGAAGGCUUUAGGGUUGUAAACCACUUUCAAUUGGGAAGAAGAGAUGAGAGUUAAUAACUUUCUGAUUUGACGGUACCUUUAGAAGAAGCACCGGCUAAUUUCGUGCCAGCAGCCGCGGUAAUACGAAAGGUGCAAGCGUUGUUCGGAUUUACUGGGCGUAAAGAGAGUGUAGGUUGUUUAUUAAGUCGGAUGUGAAAUCCCGGGGCUCAACCUCGGAACUGCAUUCGAUACUGGUAGACUAGAGUUCGGGAGGGGUAAGCGGAAUUCCGUGUGUAGCAGUGAAAUGCGUAGAUAUACGGAGGAACACCUGAGGCGAAGGCGGCUUACUGGACCGAUACUGACACUGAGACUCGAAAGCGUGGGUAGCAAACAGGAUUAGAUACCCUGGUAGUCCACGCCCUAAACGAUGUCAACUAGCCGUUGCGGGUAUCGACCCCUGCAGUGGCGAAGCUAACGCGAUAAGUUGACCGCCUGGGGAGUACGGUC
rnacentral:rRNA from 1 species